GCUUGAUGGUCAGACUCCUUGUUUCUUGAACCUGAUGAUAGUAGUCAUUCCUACAAAGGGAAACUGAGGUU
rnacentral:snoRNA from 1 species